GAGCGGCGGACGGGUGAGUAACGCGUGGGUAACCUGCCUCAUACAGGGGGAUAACAGUUAGAAAUGGCUGCUAAUACCGCAUAAGACCACAGUACUGCAUGGUACAGUGGUAAAAACUCCGGUGGUAUAAGAUGGACCCGCGUUGGAUUAGCUAGUUGGUGGGGUAACGGCCCACCAAGGCGACGAUCCAUAGCCGACCUGAGAGGGUGACCGGCCACAUUGGGACUGAGACACGGCCCAAACUCCUACGGGAGGCAGCAGUGGGGAAUAUUGCACAAUGGGCGAAAGCCUGAUGCAGCGACGCCGCGUGAGCGAAGAAGUAUUUCGGUAUGUAAAGCUCUAUCAGCAGGGAAGAUAAUGACGGUACCUGACUAAGAAGCACCGGCUAAAUACGUGCCAGCAGCCGCGGUAAUACGUAUGGUGCAAGCGUUAUCCGGAUUUACUGGGUGUAAAGGGUGCGUAGGCGGCUUUGCAAGUCAGAUGUGAAAUCUAUGGGCUCAACCCAUAAACUGCAUUUGAAACUGUAGAGCUUGAGUGAAGUAGAGGCAGGCGGAAUUCCCCGUGUAGCGGUGAAAUGCGUAGAGAUGGGGAGGAAUACCAGUGGCGAAGGCGGCCUGCUGGGCUUUAACUGACGCUGAGGCACGAAAGCGUGGGUAGCAAACAGGAUUAGAUACCCUGGUAGUCCACGCUGUAAACGAUGAUUACUAGGUGUGGGGGGUCUGACCCCUUCCGUGCCGGAGUUAACACAAUAAGUAAUCCACCUGGGGAGUACGACCGCAAGGUUGAAACUCAAAGGAAUUGACGGGGGCCCGCACAAGCAGUGGAGUAUGUGGUUUAAUUCGACGCAACGCGAAGAACCUUACCAAGUCUUGACAUCCCUUGACAGACAUAGAAAUAUGUUUUCUCUUCGGAGCAAGGAGACAGGUGGUGCAUGGUUGUCGUCAGCUCGUGUCGUGAGAUGUUGGGUUAAGUCCCGCAACGAGCGCAACCCUUAUGGUCAGUUACUACGCAAGAGGACUCUGGCCAGACUGCCGUUGACAAAACGGAGGAAGGUGGGGAUGACGUCAAAUCAUCAUGCCCUUUAUGACUUGGGCUACACACGUACUACAAUGGCGUUAAACAAAGAGAAGCAAGACCGCGAGGUGGAGCAAAACUCAGAAACAACGUCCCAGUUCGGACUGCAGGCUGCAACUCGCCUGCACGAAGUCGGAAUUGCUAGUAAUCGUGGAUCAGCAUGCCACGGUGAAUACGUUCCCGGGCCUUGCACUCACCGCCCGUCA
rnacentral:rRNA from 1 species